rnacentral:rRNA from 1 species
GUGUCAGCAGCCGCGGUAAAACGUAGGUGGCGAGCGUUAUCCGGAUUUACUGGGCGUAAAGGGUGUGCAGGCUGCCCCUCAAGUGGUGUAUGAAAGGGCUCGGCUCAACCGGGCUAGGUUAUGCCAGACUGAGGGGCUAGAGAGCGAGAGCGGGACGUGGAAUUCCGGGUGUAGUGGUGAAAUGCGUAGAGAUCCGGAGGAACCCCAGAGGCGAAGGCGGCGUCCUGGCUCGCAUCUGACGCUCAGACACGACAGCAUGGGGAGCGAACGGGAUUAGAAACCCCCGUAGUCC